rfam:Enterococcus hermanniensis strain DSM 17122 Scaffold5, whole genome shotgun sequence.
AAAUGAAAGCAGAAGCACCCGCUUCUCGCCUUACGCGAAUAUCUCGCUGGGCUAGAUAGUUAAUGACUGAUCUUUUCGAUGAGUCGAACUACGCGCGGGUUCGUAAAGAACUCGUUUUUUUAUUCGCUU